GACGUAGGGCGCGAGCGUUGUCCGGAUUUAUUGGGCGUAAAGAGCUCGUAGGCGGCUUGUCGAGUCGUCUGUGAAAUCCCGCGGCUCAACUGCGGAUCUGCAGGCGAUACGGGCAAACUGGAGUGUUGCAGGGGAGACUGGAAUUCCUGGUGUAGCGGUGAAAUGCGCAGAUAUCAGGAGGAACACCGGUGGCGAAGGCGGGUCUCUGGGCAACAACUGACGCUGAGGAGCGAAAGCGUGGGGAGCGAACAGG
rnacentral:rRNA from 1 species